CUGCCCCUGCGGUGUUCGCCAAAGACUGUAUAUUCUUUGAACCAAUGCCUUUGUGCUUGGCUGCCGACUUCUGAGACCGGUGUGCGAUGUUCUUCGUGAAUAUCUCUAAAAGUCUCGUCACGCAGCCCUCUUGAACUUCGGUUCAAGAUGAGGUCUUAGCGACACAGGCGGGGGCAUU
rnacentral:other from 1 species